rnacentral:lncRNA from 1 species
UGUAAUAGCCCUUUUUUAAAAGAAACGCUAUCAAAUCUUGUUAGAAUUACCUGUGUUAGUCAUGAAAACGUGGGCUAUGAUGGCUCUUUUAGCGAAGGCGCUAUUAAUGAUAGGGUUUCAAUAGCGCUUUAAAUGUGCUAUUAUAAGUGCUGUACUUACAAUAGCGGGGGAUUUAAUAGCACUUUUAAGUGCUAUUGAAGGUCAAAAAAAGUGCUAUUAAAUCCCUUUUUUGGUGUAGUGCUACAGCACACAUUUGGCUUCAGGAUCUAGUAUUCCUGGUCGAAAUCCUCUACCAUCUUUAACAAAAAUAUUCCUUAAUAUCAUUAAGGCAACAAACG